rnacentral:rRNA from 1 species
UACGUAGGGUGCGAGCGUUGUCCGGAAUUAUUGGGCGUAAAGGGCUCGUAGGCGGUUUGUCGCGUCGGGAGUGAAAACCAGGUGCUUAACACCUGGCUUGCUUUCGAUACGGGCAGACUAGAGGUAUUCAGGGGAGAACGGAAUUCCUGGUGUAGCGGUGAAAUGCGCAGAUAUCAGGAGGAACACCGGUGGCGAAGGCGGCUUCCUGGACAAUUACUGACGCUGAGACGCGAAAGCGUGGGGAGCAAACAGG